GGACAGCUGUGAUUCAGUGGUGGAGCAUCUGGUUGCCAUGCAGAAGGUCCCAGGUUCGAUCCCAGGCAUGUCCG
rnacentral:tRNA from 1 species